rnacentral:lncRNA from 1 species
UGCUAAAAAAUAUCAAAUUUGUACUUAUAAAGCAAUAAAAAAAAUUAUGUUUACUACAAGCAAAUUAAAGGAGAAAUAAUAUGGCUCAAAUUCUCAUGUUUACUUAUGCUUUGAUCAUCUUUUUUUCUCUAUUUCUUGUUGGAACAAGUACAAGUAUGUCAUUUUUAUACCAUUUUAAAAAAAAUCAAUUUAUCUUAUAGAAAAUAUUUUAUCACAUUUUACAAACAUCCUUUCUUAUUAUAUGACAAUGCAGGUGAAACUCCUUUUAGUGGAACUCCUCUCAAGACUAAACAUGCAUGCGAAAAGGACGAAGAUUGUCCAAUAAAGUUAUAUUAUCUUUUUGCUUGGUGUGUUCAGAAAUUAUGUGAAUACCAUUGAUUAAGUUUACAUCGCAUCGUGUAAUUUAUUUUCAUAAUAAAGUUUGUACUUUAAAUACUUUCAAAAUUUGAUUUCUAUUUGUAUGGCCUUCAAAUUUAUGUGACAAUCUCAAGAGUUAUAUACAAGUAUUUUUUU